rnacentral:rRNA from 1 species
GCAGGCUGCAACUCGCCUGCAUGAAGCUGGAAUUGCUAGUAAUCGCGGAUCAGCAAGCCGCGGUGAAUACGUUCCCGGGCCUUGUACACACCGCCCGUCACACCAUGAGAGUCGGGAACACCCGAAGUCCGUAGUCUAACCGCAAGGGGGGCGAGGCCGAAGGUGGGUCCGGUAAUUGGGGUGAAGUCGUAACAAGGUAGC